rnacentral:rRNA from 1 species
CUGGCUCAGGAUGAACGCUAGCUACAGGCUUAACACAUGCAAGUCGAGGGGCAGCAUGAUCUGUGCUGCACAGAUGAUGGCGACCGGCGCACGGGUGAGUAACGCGUAUCCAACCUUCCCCUUAGUAGGGCAUAGCCCGGCGAAAGUCGGAUUAAUACCCUAUGUUUUCCAAUGAGGACAUCUGAGCUGGAAUAAAGAUUUAUCGCUAAGGGAUGGGGAUGCGUCCGAUUAGGUUGUUGGCGGGGUAACGGCCCACCAAGCCUUCGAUCGGUAGGGGUUCUGAGAGGAAGGUCCCCCACACUGGUACUGAGACACGGACCAGACUCCUACGGGAGGCAGCAGUGAGGAAUAUUGGUCAAUGGGCGAGAGCCUGAACCAGCCAAGUAAGCGUGCAGGAUGACGGCCCUAUGGGUUGUAAACUGCUUUUAUACGGGGAUAAAGUGAGGGACGUGUCCCUUAUUGUAGGUACCGUAUGAAUAAGGACCGGCUAAUUCCGUGCCAGCCGCGGC